UGCCAGCCGCCGCGGUAACACGGGGGGCGCAAGCGUUAUUCGGAAUUAUUGGGCGUAAAGCGCGUGUAGGCGGUUCGUUAAGUCUGAUGUGAAAGCCCGGGGCUCAACCCCGGAAGUGCAUUGGAAACUGGCGAACUUGAGUACGGGAGAGGAAAGUGGAAUUCCGAGUGUAGGGGUGAAAUCCGUAGACAUUCGGAGGAACACCAGUGGCGAAGGCGGCUUUCUGGCCCGAUACUGACGCUCAUGGACGAAAGCGUGGGGAGCAAACAGGAUUAGAUA
rnacentral:rRNA from 1 species